rnacentral:rRNA from 1 species
CCUACGGGUGGCAGCAGUAAGGAAUAUUGGUCAAUGGGGGAAACCCUGAAGCAGCAACGCAGCGUGAAGGAUGAAGGUUUUCGGAGUGGAAACUCCUUUUGUUAGAGAAGAAAAUGACGGUAUCUAACGAAUAAGCACCGGCUAACACCGUGCCAGCAGCCGCGGUAAUACGGAGGGUGCAAGCGUUACUCGGAGUCACUGGGCGUAAAGAGGGCGUAGGCGGGUUAGCAAGUCAGAUGUGAAAUCCUAUGGCUUAACCAUAGAACUGCAUUUGAAACUGUUAUUCUAGAGUAGGGGAGAGGUAGGUGGAAUUCUUGGUGUAGGGGUAAAAUCCGUAGAGAUCAAGAGGAAUACUCAUUGCGAAGGCGACCUGCUAGACCAUAACUGACGCUGAUGCGCGAAAGCGUGGGGAGCAAACAGGAUUAGAUACCCCGGUAGUC